GACGAACGCUGGCGGCGUGCUUAACACAUGCAAGUCGAACGGAAAGGCCCUGCUUUUGUGGGGUGCUCGAGUGGCGAACGGGUGAGUAACACGUGAGUAACCUGCCCUUGACUUUGGGAUAACUUCAGGAAACUGGGGCUAAUAACGGAUAGGAGCUCCUGCUGCAUGGUGGGGGUUGGAUAGUUUCGGCGGUUGGGGAUGGACUCGCGGCUUAUCAGCUUGUUGGUGGGGUAGUGGCUUACCAAGGCUUUGACGGGUAGCCGGCCUGAGAGGGUGACCGGCCACAUUGAGACGGGGAUACGGCCCAGACUCCUACGGGAGGCAGCAGUGGGGAAUAUUGCACAAGGGGCGGAGGCCUGAUGCAGCAACGCCGCGUGCGGGAUGACGGCCUUCGGGUGGUAAACCGCUUUCGCCUGUGACGAAGCGUGAGUGACGGUAAUGGGUAAAGAAGCACCGGCUAACUACGUG
rnacentral:rRNA from 1 species